rnacentral:lncRNA from 1 species
GGUCAAAGGAAUUGUGGUAUACUUAGCCAAUGAGAAGUGGUCAUAUGGGAAAAUAAGUCAAAUAGAGAUUAUAAAAUGAUUAAUGGAAAAAUAAACAAUAUUAAAUGACAGAAGGAGGCUGCAGAACAAGUGAGAAUAACAUAAGGGUUAAAAUAUACUACAGGAUAUAAUAUUUGUGGAUGUGUAAUUUCGCAACAUUUUGAUAUUAUCAUUAAUGUUAAUACUUAUCCAUAAUUUCGUAAUGUCUUCAAGAGAAAACAGUGGUCGAUGAACAACCAAUUCAGUACAUAGCAACUGUUGCUGGGGAGGAAAAGAGGUUUCUGCUGAGUCCGUCUUACCGGGAGAUUGGUGACUAGAAGAAAGGUGCACACAUCUACACUCAUGCAUGUAUUUAAAAUCUGAGGUAAAUGUUGAGACAUCCCAUAAUGAUUGUAUUUACCUAAGAAGAAAAAUAGAUUUCCUGAAAUCCCAGCACUUGCUGAUAUCAAAGCUGCAUUAAUUCUACACACAGAUACUAUUUUAAAUAUGGAAACUUCUGCAAAACCAGUCCCUGUCUUGAACUAUCUGGUGACUCGUGAGGACGUGGGUGGAGUACACCAAUGAUCAUGUGCAGAAGAGACGUGAGUAGAGAAAGCAAAACUGGAUACUUCAAGAACUAGGCAAAGCUGUAACUAGGCACACUUGAUGAGGAAGGGCUUUUUCUUAGAGAGUGAGCUGGAAUGGAAUGGUUAGAACACAGUAAGGUUGCAAGGGUGGAAGCAACUAUGGGAGAUGGAGACUGCUGGACACUGUAGAAGAAGAUUCAUUGCUGUGAUCCAGGCUCUAGGCCAUUGACAUUGUGUGGUCUCGGGGGGGGGGGGUAAAGUGUAAGCUAGUUCUACAGAGAAAGACCCAGUCUUAACAACAAGGCAUAGAGUUUGCAUUGUAAGCAAGUGGGCAUUUGCGGAGGAACAAGAUGACAGAGUUCCAUUUUAACUAUCACCAGGAAGUGGGUGGAGACCAUACUGAAGGUUGAGGGUGUGAGGCAGGGGAGGUUUAUUAACAGAAGAAAGGAUACUCAUGGGGCUGAUGUUGCUAUAGUGGAAGUUAUUGUUAGAGUUGUGAGUUAAAGAGAGAA